rnacentral:rRNA from 1 species
ACGCUCGACACCUACGGGGGGCAGCAGUGGGGAAUAUUGCACAAUGGGGGAAACCCUGAUGCAGCGACGCCGCGUGGAAGAAGAAGGUCUUCGGAUUGUAAACUCCUGUUGUUGGGGAAAAAGAGGAUGGUACCCAACAAGGAAGUGACGGCUAACUACGUGCCAGUAGCCGCGGUAAUCUGAGCGGGCUGGCAAGGC